AUUGUUAAUGUGUUCAGGGCUUAGUUUAUUUUCUUUUUUUUUUUUUUCUACUUGUGUGAUUUUAUUUACAUGAAAUCACAGCGAAAGAGGGGAGACACUUUUUUUUAAAAAGUGAUUGAAUAAGUAGUCCUAGGUUUCAGAAAUUUACUGCUACAAUUUAAGUAGGAAUUACUUGGUUCUUUAAGAAUCAGUCUGAUCAAAAGGGACCACUGCUUUGACAAUCAACUCUAAAUCCAAACAAGAAGAAUACUUAGUCUAACCCUUUUUUAGCUCCUUUUAGCUCUUCCUUUCAAUUUUUUUGGAAGAAACCUUUACCCUGACUGGCUUAUACAUACAAAGCCUUUGGGCAUUCCUUUUAUGAACCAGACACAUUGAACCUUCAUUCUCCUUGGUGAUGUUUAAUGAACCUUCAUUCUCCUUGGUGAUGUUUAAAGCCCUUAAGCUGAGAGGGAAAACCAUCUUCUUCAUUUGUAGUUUGCACGUCAUUCAGUAGGCAAUCUGGAAGCCAUGUCGCUAUAUAUGGGUAUAUUUUCUAAAGGUUACUACAAAAGUGAACAUAAUAGAAAAUGGAUGACUUUGUAUUGAAUUUAUGCAAUGGCUUACAGUUUUAGUGUUUGGUUUUUCUGAAUUAUGUAAUACAAGAAUUAAUUUUCUCUUAAUCUCCUCAUCUUUCAAUCAUUGGUAGAUAUCAUAGAAACGCAAGGUGCUUUAUUCAUUUCACACGAAAUUCAUAUUCAGUUCUACUCAAGUCUUUCAAUGACUUUUGUGCAUCCCUUUCCCUGGAAUUAAAGCCAGAAUUCAUGCAAUUAGAAAAUGGAAGUUUGGAUGUAUGAAGGUUCAGGAUAUUCUCUCAAAUCAUUCCUUAAAUCAACCCUUACUGAUGCAGUUGAUAUUAAAUGCCUUUGGUUUUAUGCCUCUUAGAUAUUUGACCUAGUUGGAACAGAUGCUAUCUGUGCUUCUCCAUUGGUGAAUCAUUUAAAUUUCUUUAAAUGAUGGUAGAGCUCUGGAAUAGUCCAGUAUUUUAAUUUUUCACAGUGAAUUUUAUUUUAGUGUAUCAAGGAAUUCAACGUUUCUACCUUCCCUAAUUCUAAGCUUAUGAUUACCCCUUGUCAGAUCUUGAAACAUAGUAUGUUCUGUUCAUAGGAGUUUCUUCCUUUAAAUCAGAGGUUCACAGCCUUGCCACUUUUGGCCUAUAUAAUUAAUUGUUGUGGGUGGCCAUCCUGUAUAUUAUGAAGAUAUUCAGCAUCCCUGGCCCGGAUAGAUGCCAGUAGCUCCCCCUUCCCAGUUGUGACAAUAAAAGAUGUCACCAGACUUUGCUAUCUGGCCCUUGGGCAAAAAGUAGGAAGACAUUUUCCUGUGGUUAAAAACCAGUGCUUUUUGCUCUGGUUCCUUUUGUCCCGGGUCCAUUUAUUUUUCAUUCUAAGGCCAUGUGCCACUGGAAUUGUUAUAUGAGAGAAUGUGCUGUUUUUAAUAAUCAUGAGUGGGAGGAAAUGGCCAGUAAUGUUUUCCAUUUUUGUAAUGCUCAUUCUCAUAAGUUUCACAUAGUCUUAGAAACUCAGGGCUAGAAGGUUCAGCUUAUCUUUUUUCAACAGGGUCUCAGCUUUUAUUUCUUAGCAUCCUUGCUUAUUAAGGACAGUGAUUAUUAACCUACCUCUCUGUUACUAUCAACAGAAUCCAAUUUGUCUCUAAAGUUUAAUAUUUUGCAUACACUUUAGAAAAUAUAUAAUCAUCGUCUAAUGCACAAAUUUUUGCAGACUAUGACCAUCAUUAAAUACAGAAAAAAUAUUACGUAAAAUUUAUCAUGAAAAUUAGGUUGUAUAAACAUUGAUUUUGAGUGUGACCAGAAGAAUGUCUGCCUGCUCAUGAUAACUGGUCGAUAACUUGGUAUGUUUACUGGAUCCACUCCACGUGAAAAGGUUGUAGAAGACACUUAAAUGUGGUUCUUGAGUGGGAAUUUCCACUUGAAUGAGUACUUCUGAAACUUUUUGCCAGUGGUCUGAAAGCAUAGGAGGCAUGAGAAAUGAAUCUUGAGUGUUGUCUGAUUCUCAGAGUUGGUAAUAUGUAAAUAGAGUUGGAAUCUUCUACCUGGGUUUGUCUUAGAACUAAAUGGAAAAGCAUAGAGCCAGCUCAGACGGUUGUAUUUAAUCAAUUGCUUUUAAAAACUGGGGAGAAGUGUCAAAGCAUUGAUCAUGAGUAGUUAGUGCCUCUCUGACUGCGGUCAGACCAUUAGUUCAUUAAGACCUUAUACAUUGUUAAGUAUUGGUAAAAGGAGAAAACUGCUAAACUGCUAGUUAUCCCUUACCAGAAUUCAUUCCUUUGAAUUUGGCACCCACUUUCUUUAUUUGGGCUGUUUAAUGUGUCUGUAAAUAAUGAAGCAAGAUUCAGUAUAGCAGAGGUGGUGCUGCUUCAGACACAGCUAAUGUGACCACAUUCCUUUGUCUUUACUCCAGCAUGUCUUACUGCUUUCUUUUUGUAAAAUUAUAAAAUAGGUGAAAUUUUUUUAAAAAAUUAAGAAUUAUAUGUUUAAAAACACUGAACUUUUAGAAUUGUCUGUAUCUCUAUUCCUACCUACUUGUUAAUCAGUGACUGUAAAGGAAGGACACUGAAAGGAAGAACUAGACUGAGUCUUAAUCUUCUUCUAAGACAAAUUGGUAAAACUUCACUCAACACUUGAAGUCCACAAUUGGAUUCUAGCUAAUAUCCCAUAUUGGGCAGGUUAGAGGGAACCAACCAAAUUAUGAUCUAGCAAAUUUAACUUGGGGGUGGGAGAGAGUAAACUAUUUUUCAAUAGAUUUGCACUUUAAAAUUAUGAACUGGAUGUUAGUGGAAAGUACUUCCAAAGGACAGGUGGAUAAAUACCUAACCUGUACAUAGAGUUAAGAGAAUCAAACCUUACCCUUGCUCAUUCUAAGCCCACAUGAGCAGCUGCUGUCUGUCAGUGUAUUCAGUCAGGAUUUCCCAGUUUCCAUGCUUGGGUCAUCUUCCAUGUCUGCUACAUCUGAGAUCAUCCCUCUGAGGAUGUGUCAAGUAAUUCUGCUCAGAUAGAAACUUUGUGAGUUAUCUUUCCCACAUCUAGUUUUUAAAAAUUAAUUUAGAUGUUGACUAAAUGAAGUUGUGGCGAAGUUUUUCUGAGGUGCUACUGCCUCAAGGGAUCACUCCUAUCAAAAGACUGGUGAAUUUGAAGCUGAAGAGAAUCUACUUAUAGCCAGCUACUUCUCCCAGGUUAUGUGUUAUGAGUGUGAGCGUCAUUCCAGUCUUUGGCUUCUAGAAGCCACUCCAUUCUGAACAUUUUGACAUCUAUUAAUACUCCAGUAAUAAUCUUUUAUACAUGGGAGUUUUGUAGCAUGACUUUAUGACUAAACUUAUUGUGUGUUAAAUUAUUUAGAAAUAUUGAGUUUCUGAAUGUUAUUUUGUGAGACUUGUUUUAAAAUAGUAAUAAAUUGUGUUAUUUUAUAAAUA
rnacentral:lncRNA from 1 species